UACGUGCCCCGACAGCAAGCGG
rnacentral:misc_RNA from 1 species